rnacentral:rRNA from 1 species
GUCAUACGAGACUGCCGGUAAAAGACCGGAGGAAGGUGAGGAUGAUGUCAAGUCAGCAUGACCUUUAUAUCCAGGGCUACACACACGCUACAAUGGUCUGUACAAUGGGUAGCCAAGCCGCGAGGCGGAGCCAAUCCUGAAAGCAGGCCUCAGUUCAGAUUGCAGUCUGCAACUCGACUGCAUGAAGCCGGAGUUGCUAGUAACCGCAGGUCAGCAAUACUGCGGUGAAUACGUUCCCGGGUCUU